GUGAGGAAUUUUCCGCAAUGGGCGAAAGCCUGACGGAGCAAUGCCGCGUGAAGGAUGAAGGCCUAUGGGUUGUAAACUUCUUUUCUCAGAAAAGAAUUAUGACGGUAUCUGAGGAAUAAGCAUCGGCUAACUCUGUGCCAGCAGCCGCGGUAAGACAGAGGAUGCAAGCGUUAUCCGGAAUGAUUGGGCGUAAAGCGUCUGUAGGUUGUUUAAAAAGUAUUCUGUCAAAGAUUAGGGCUUAACCCUAGAUAGGCAGAAUAAACUUUUAAGCUAGAGUUUGGUAGAGGCAGAGGGAAUUCCCGGUGGAGCGGUGAAUUGCGUAGAUAUCGGGAGGAACACCAAAGGCGAAGGCACUCUGCUGGGCCAAUACUAACACUGAGAGACGAAAGCGAGGGGAGCAAAUGGGAUUAGAAACCCGUGUAGUCC
rnacentral:rRNA from 1 species